GCAGCAAAGCACGCCCUCCUGGAGCACCCUCGGUUGAAUCAUGCAUAAGACAAACAGCCAGAAAAGAAUCUCAGGGAAAAUCAUGGCCAGGAACCUGGAUCCAUCAGAAAAUUGAAGUCACAGGACAAACCUCACUCUGAAAAUUGGAGACACAGGCAAAUAAAGAGGAUCCCAACUUACCAAGAGUAGAAGCCCACAUCUGGAGCACACAGGUGGCUGCUGCGUCUCCAGGCUUCCUGUCCCUGUGCCAUCAGAAAAGAAGGUGUGAGGGAGGAGUGCAGGAGGGCAAGAGAAAAAUGUCUUCCCAGAAACUCAGCGUAUGUCUCAGUGGUCAGAAAAAAUUAGCUGCUAUGUGCCACUGUCCUAGGUACUGAGAAUAUAAUGAUGAGCAAAACCAGACACUGUCCCCAGCCUUACAGAGCUCACACCUGUGACAUCCAUCCUAGCAUAUAUAAGCAGACUUUCAGAAAAUUCACCCUAACAAAUGGCUUUGCAUUGUUAGGAGACAUCAUGCGCAGCCCACAAGGGAUGUGUCUGCUGCUCUAAGAUCCAGAACAUUGUCUCUGUGACCCAUGACUACAUCCUACUGUGUCGGCAAGGCCAGGACUUGGAAUGAGUUUCCCGAUGGAGCCUGCCACUCACUGGGUCCUUUGUGGGAAUCAGCACAAUGGAGAAGACUAAGUUUUAUGGACUGAAUUGUGCCCCUCCCCCAAAAAAAUCAUGUUGGAAUCCUAACCCACAGUGUCUCAGGAUAGGACUGUACUGAAGAUAUGAUGAUUAAAUUAAACACGGUGAUUAAAUUAGGAUGAGGUCCUAUAGGUGGGCCCUAAUCCAAAGUGCAUGUGUC
rnacentral:lncRNA from 1 species